rnacentral:rRNA from 1 species
UAGAUACCCUGGUAGUCCACGCCCUAAACGAUGCACACUAGUUGUUGCUAUGCUAGACAUAGCAGUAAUGCAGUUAACACAUUAAGUGUGCCGCCUGGGGAGUACGGUCGCAAGAUUAAAACUCAAAGGAAUAGACGGGGACCCGCACAAGCGGUGGAGCAUGUGGUUUAAUUCGACGAUACGCGAAGAACCUUACCUGGCCUUGACAUAGUAAGAACCUAAUAGAGAUAUAAGGGUGCUAGUUUACUAGAGCUUACAUACAGGUGCUGCACGGCUGUCGUCAGCUCGUGUCGUGAGAUGUUGGGUUAAGUCCCGCAACGAGCGCAACCCUCGUGUCUAGUUACUAACAGUUCGGCUGAGGACUCUAGACAGACUGCCUGGGUAACCAGGAGGAAGGUGAGGACGACGUCAAGUCAUCAUGGCCCUUACGGCCAGGGCUACACACGUGCUACAAUGGGGUAUACAGAGAGCCGCAAUACCGCGAGGUGGAGCAAAUCUUCAAAAUAUCUCCCAGUUCGGAUAGCAGUCUGCAACUCGACUGCUUGAAGUUGGAAUCGCUAGUAAUCGUGAAUCAGCAAUGUCACGGUGAAUACGUUCCCGGGUCUUGUACUCACCGCCCGUCACACCAUGGGAGUUGAAUUCAUUCGAAGCGGGGACGCUAAAGUAGCUACCUUCCACAGUGGAUUUAGUAACUAGGGUGAAGUCGUAACAAGGUA